rnacentral:rRNA from 1 species
AUUGAACGCUGGCGGCAGGCCUAACACAUGCAAGUCGAGCGAGCGGCGGACGGGUGAGUAAUGUCUGGGAAACUGCCUGAUGGGGGGGGAGAACUACUGGAAACGGUGGCUCAUACCGCAUACCAUAAGAUGUGUCCAGAUGGGAUUAGCUAGUAGGGGGGGUAAAGGCUCACCUAGGCGAUGAUCCCUAGCUGGUCUGAGAGGAUGACCAGCCACACGGGAACUGAGACACGGUCCAGACUCCUACGGGAGGCAGCAGUGGGGAAUAUUGCACAAUGGGCGCAAGCCUGAUGCAGCCAUGCCGCGUGUAUGAAGAAGGCCUUCGGGUUGUAAAGUACUUUCAGCGGGGAGGCGUUACCCGCAGAAGAAGCACCGGCUAACUCCGUGCCAGCAGCCGCGGUAAUUC